rnacentral:tRNA from 1 species
AUUUUAAUAGCUUAAUUAAGAGUUCUACAUUGAAGAUGUGGCGGUGGUGUAUUACCUUAAAAUAUUUAUAAG